rnacentral:rRNA from 1 species
AUUGAACGCUGGCGGCAGGCCUAACACAUGCAAGUCGCGCGAGCGGCGGACGGGUGAGUAAGGUAUGGGGACUGCCCGAUAGAGGGGGAUAACUACUGUAAACGGUGGCUAAUACCGCAUACUAUCGGAUAACCCAUAUGGGAUUAGCUAGUCGGUGGGGUAACGGGUCACCUAGGCGACGAUCUCUAGCUGGUCUGAGAGGAUGAGCAGCCAAACGGUACCUGAGACACGGCCCAUACUCCGACGGAGGCAGCAGUGGGGAAUAUUGCACAAUGGGCGGAAGCGUUAUGCAGCCAUGCGGCGUGUAUGAUGAAGGCCUUGGGGUUGUAAAGUACUUUUAGCGGGGAGGGGUUAAUCGCAGAAGAAGAACCGGCUAACGCCGUGACAGCGGCCGCGGUAAUUC